GGGACACCAGUUGGCAGCAGAGUUCCCAGUCUCCAUAUCUGAGAAAAGCUAGCUCACAGACCUGUACUGAUUACCCAGUCAAGAUUCAUGUGCUGUCUGCUACCUGCAGCAUCUGUCUUCCUUCCAACGAUAUGCAGUUAACAUGCGUCUUUCCAAUGUUGAACACAAGAACCAGGGAUUCACAAGUGCUCUCUGCCUGAGCCCCAGCCCCAGCCACAGCUCUCAUUCCUUUUAAGGAAAUGAGAAUCGGAGGACAGGAUGUGAACUGCCGAGGGCACAGGCUAAACUCCUAACUUGGUCCUGGCUGUUUUGUAAGCCAUCACAUUCCUCUGCUAUACUCUAGCACACUACUGAAAUCUUCAAGAGAUUCCGUGAACUGUGGGAGAGCUAGGAAACCCAAUCAUUUUACCCUCUUUGAAAUACUAAUGUGCACUCCCUGCUUUGAGAAGUGA